rnacentral:rRNA from 1 species
CCUACGGGAGGCAGCAGUGAGGAAUUUUCCGCAAUGGGCGAAAGCCUGACGGAGCAAUACCGCGUGAGGGAUGAAGGAUUUUGGUCUGUAAACCUCUUUUCUCAAGAAAGAAGUUCUGACGGUACUUGAGGAAUAAGCAUCGGCUAACUCCGUGCCAGCAGCCGCGGUAAUACGGGGGAUGCAAGCGUUAUCCGGAAUGAUUGGGCAUAAAGCGCCUGUAGGUUGUUUAUUAAGUCCGUUGUUAAAGCCUAGGGCUUAACCCUAGAAAAGCAAUGGAAACUAGUAGACUAGAGUAUGGCAGGGGUAGAGGGAAUUUCUAGUGUAGCGGUGAAAUGCGUAGAUAUUAGAAAGAACACCGGUGGCGAAAGCGCUCUACUGGACCAUUACUGACACUCAGAGGCGAAAGCUAGGGUAGCAAAAGGGAUUAGAUACCCCUGUAGUCCUAGCCGUAAACGAUGGAUACUAGAUGUUGUGCAUUAUGUACAGUAUCGUAGCUAACGCGUUAAGUAUCCCGCCUGGGGAGUACGCUCGCAAGGGUGAAACUCAAANANAUAGAGCGNGNGAGNGCGACGACGACGACGAGGGAGAG